rnacentral:sRNA from 1 species
AAUGAACAGCAUUUCAUAUCUUGGCAGUACACUGUUCAAAAGACAUCUUCAUCAAGUAGGUAAGAC